UACGUAGGUGGCAAGCGUUGUCCGGAUUUACUGGGCGUAAAGAGCGCGCAGGCGGUUGUGCAAGUCGCGUGUGAAAGCCCCCGGCUCAACUGGGGAGGGUCACGCGAUACUGUUCGACUUGAAGGCAGGAGAGGGAAGUGGAAUUCCCGGUGUAGUGGUGAAAUGCGUAGAUAUCGGGAGGAACACCAGUGGCGAAGGCGACUUCCUGGCCUGUUCUUGACGCUGAGGCGCGAAAGCUAGGGUAGCAAACGGGG
rnacentral:rRNA from 1 species